CCUACGGGUGGCAGCAGUGAGGAAUAUUGGGCAAUGGGGGCAACCCUGACCCAGCCAUGCCGCGUGAGUGAUGAAGGUCUUCGGAGUGUAAAGCUCUUUCGGUCGGGACGAAGAUUGCGGGAGCGUCCAAAGAAGGAACGGCUAACUUCGUUCCAGCAGCCGCGGUAAUACGAAGGGUGCGAGCGUUUUUCGGAAUUAUUGGGCGGAAAGGGAGUGUAGGGGGAUCUGUAAGAUAGCGGUGAAAGGCCGGGGCUCAACCACGGAACUGCCAUUGUGACUAGGUAGCUAGAGUACGGGAGAGGAAAGCGGAAUACCUGGUGUAGAGGUGAAAUUCGUAGAUAUUGGGUAGAACACCGGUGGCGAAGGCGGCUAUCUGGCCCUUUACUGACGCUGAGGCACGAAAGCGUGGGGAUCAAACAGGAUUAGAUACCCCUGUAGUC
rnacentral:rRNA from 1 species